rnacentral:rRNA from 1 species
CCUACGGGGGGCAGCAGUGGGGAAUACUGGACAAUGGGGGGAACCCUGAUCCAGCCAUGCCGCGUGUGUGAAGAAGGCCCUCGGGUUGUAAAGCACUUUCAGUGAGGAAGAACGCCUGGUGGUUAAUACCCAUCAGGAAAGACAUCACUCACAGAAGAAGCACCGGCUAACUCCGUGCCAGCAGCCGCGGUAAUACGGAGGGUGCGAGCGUUAAUCGGAAUUACUGGGCGUAAAGCGCGCGUAGGUGGCUUGAUAAGCCGGUUGUGAAAGCCCCGGGCUCAACCUGGGAACGGCAUCCGGAACUGUCAAGCUAGAGUGCAGGAGAGGAAGGUAGAAUUCCCGGUGUAGCGGUGAAAUGCGUAGAGAUCGGGAGGAAUACCAGUGGCGAAGGCGGCCUUCUGGACUGACACUGACACUGAGGUGCGAAAGCGUGGGUAGCAAACAGGAUUAGAUACCCGUGUAGUC